AAUGAUAUAUAGAAGUUAUAUUUAAUUUUUUACAUUUAUUUACUUAUAAGUCACAUUAAAGAUCCACUUGGCUUACUAAUGCAAGGGGGCCCAUGACACAGUUUGGUGGGUAGACUGUGUGAACGUAACUUCAUGUGUGCUGUUUUUUUUUUUUUUCAUAGCAUAAAUGUAAAAGGCUUGCGUUUCUGAGUGAUUGAUUAGAUGAGUGAGUAAUGUGUGUGUGAGUGUGUGUUUACCAGUUAACACAGCAGGGAGUGGACAGAAGGGCCAAGUGUGACAGGUGGACAGGCGUGAUAAGGAGAGAGCGGUGCAGACCAGCGCUCAGCAGAAGCAGAGCCCAGGAGAAUAUCCAGCCAAAAGCAGCUAAUAGCUGAUACUCAUCAGAGAUAGAGCCGCUGAAGAUUUCUUGUCUCUGUGGAAUAGUCGUUCAUUUCGCUUCAGCCCAAAUUCUCCUCCCUAAAAAUGUACUGUAUUUCGUACAGUCGUGAAAAGAUGUUGUUAAUCAAGUUUAAUACAAAAGGACAAUCAAUGCUGGGACUGAAGGAAUAUGCCAUGAUCAGAUGGAGAGUAAAUGAAGACUUUCUGCUUUUCAGAUUUUACAGAUUUCACAUCAGUGUAUCCUAGAGUUUCAGAAGAGAUCUCAGCAAUGUUGUAACUGCAACAUGGGACGAAAAGGAAAAUUCAGAGGGAGCGAGAAUAAUAAAUGCAAAUUAUGAAUCCUUUUACCAAACAUCGGCAAGAGGAAGUUCACAGUCUUCAAGGCACCAAAUUACACCAUUGAUCCGAACCCAAAAUGGCUCCAUGUCUGGCAUUUUCAGAGGCCUUUUCCAAGUCAAUGUCAUCCUAUUGGCCUCAAACUAAAAGAGACAAAUAGGACUGGAAUAAGGUAAAGAUGGAGUGGUUGCCUUGCUGUUGUGCUGGUAUCAGACAUGGGCUCUUCAUCAGAUGACUAAUGGAGUUGUGCAGCUAACCAGGAGGCCCAAGGCUGUUUGUUAGCUCCUAACAAGGUGAACCAGCUCCUACGGAACAGCACACUAGCGCUGAAGGAUUUAUUAUAGAUCUGCGUGUCCGCAGGCCAUGAGCGGCAGUGCUGGUCUCAUUGUAGUGGGCUCACCACACUAGCAGAGGGUUUAGAUCAUUAUUGCCUCAUUGUUUUGAUACAAUUUUGGAGAGCGGAUGAUGGAUGGAUGGAUAAUCGGAUGAGUAAAGGAGUUUUGGUAGCCUAGCACAGGAGGGUAAUGGAUGGACUGCAAAAACACAUGGACAAGAUGAGGAAAAGUGAGUUUUGAACAUUUAAAGAAGGAAUUUGGAAAUAGUUUUCAGUUUUUUUUUUUUAAAUGUUUAAUUUUCACAUUUAAUAUGUGCAAAUAAAACCUUUAAAAAUAGAAGAAAAAU